GUUGUCCUUUAAUGAGUACUAACCUUUGAAAAUCUUACUAGAAUGUCCGUUGACCAUUCCUAUUUUUUUUUCCAGAAUCAGCGCAGCAGGGACGACGUUAAACUGCUGGAUUCAAGCGACGUUUAUGUCAACCGGAAUGCUUUGCGAAGCUGUGUACAAGCAGGGCACCAGCAAAAGGUCCCAUUGGGCUUUUAAAGAAACUCAUUCCGAUAGUUUUUUCUGCCUAGGAUCUUGCAAGGUCGUGCGGCCAAGGACUCGCUCGCGGAGGGGCAUCUCAGAAGGAGGAUGGGAAAGCCCCUCUUGACCAGCACAAGGUCAAUGCUUGCAAAGAUUACCUUGUCGCCUUCUGCCUCCAGAAUAAAAUGGCCCAGCCAGGAGCGCAAGAGAUAAAUAAAGCGUUCACGCAACAAAUUACAUAUGCGAGGACAAUAUUAAAAAUGCAGAGUGCUGCCGUGAACACUGAGUAGAUAUAAUGAUCACCGUCUUUUAUGUAUUUCUUUUUAUACACUAGACGGUCGAGGUUUAUACACGAUUAAAAGUAGUACUAACCAUA